AUGGCGCAGGUCUGGGCGGUGUUCCUGGCCGUGGGGUCGCUCGCCAUCGGCAUGCUCGGGGUGCUCGGCGUCUGGCUCUGCUACCUGUUCCAGGCCGUGGCGUUUGGCCCGCCCCCCGCCCCGCCGCCCGAGACGCCGGAGACGGUCGACGACGACGACGACAAGAACGGGCUAUCAGAGGCGGAGCUGAGGCAGCUGGGCGGUGUCGUCCAGGCGGCGACCGCGAACGGCGAGGAGGAGGAGGAGGUGCUCUGCCCUAUCUGCCUCGACGCCAUGGAGCCCGGCCGCGCCGUGCGCGUCCUCCCCGGCUGCAACCGCGCCUUCCACCAGGACUGCGUCGACCGGUGGCUGGCCAUCUCGCCGCGCUGCCCCGUGUGCAACGUCUGGGCCACGCCGCAGUCCCCGCGGGCCUCGCCGACGGCGGCCAAGACUGCUCCGGGUCCAGGGUGCUGA
rnacentral:rRNA from 1 species